ensembl:processed_transcript A530072M11Rik RIKEN cDNA gene A530072M11
ACAAGCCGGGUGGACAUCGCUGAGGCUUGGAAAAGAUUUCCUCCGGGGAAAAUCCCUCCGGAGUUCUCCAGUCUGGUGUCAGAGAGGAAUACUAAAGAAGAAGGAGAAAUUCAAGGUACAAGAGAGGCAAAGAAUGUUGCUCCUACAAAGGAACUCUCCUGACAGAAGUCCACAGAGGACAGAUGGAUGGGGAUGAUUUCCACACUAGUUCCUAACUUUAAAUAAAACCAAGCCUGCAGCGUAGUUUCCUGAGUCCUAAUGGAAGGAUUUGAUGAAGACAUCCCAUUUAGGAAUCUGCACUGUUCUCCCUGGGCCACAGCUAUGCCUGCUUCCCUGGAGGCCUGCUGCCAUCCAGGACAACGAGAUGGAGAUGUGUUAAAACUCAGAAGUCCUGUUCUAGAGUGACUCUCUUACUACACAGAGCAUCCCUUGCCAUUGAAGAGGUAAAACUUAAUUCCCGGCAGGCAGCCCAAUGUGGGAGCGAGCGUCAGCCAUGCUGCGGAAGGCAGAAUAAAGUGUCUUCCUGGGAGGAGCAAUGUCCAAAAUAUGGUCUUUCUACUGGUGAAAGGUGGAUAUUGGAAUCACCUACAGUUGAUAGCGGCCAGAAGAAAGACACCCAAGCAACUGCCGCAGGCCAGUCAGCCCUAUGGAAGCUGGAAGAAAGAUACCCAAGUGCCCGGCCAUACUGACCCUGAAAGAAAGACAUACAAACACCUGCCUCUGGAAUCACUGUUAUUUGAAUGUGUGCUGGGGAUAUGGAAAAGACAAGAGUACAUGGUGGAGAGGUGGAAGAGAAAAUGAAGCCAAGGUGUUUGUAUAUUGUAGAGAAAGGUAGAACUAGAGAUGGUAGUGAGGAACAGGGAGAUAUGAGGACGCCAUAGUGAGUUCCUACCCUGGGAUGCCACUAAGGGCCAUGUUUGCAUCCAUGGUCCUGUUGCAGCUGGGGUCGUUGCUGAUGUCUUGGCCCGAGUUACCAUCAAAGACCAAGUGGAUGUCCCAUGGUCUAGGUUGCCACUGGAAAACGUGUGGAUAUCUGAGGGUCAUGCUGCUUAGGGAAGACUUGCUCAUCUUCGUGGCCUGCCCUGUCACAUGAGGCCAUAGGGACAUUUGGGCCCAGACUAGUUCAAUGGGCUAUGUCUUGGUCCUUGACUUCAUGGCAGCUGAGGUCUGUGUUGAUGUCCCAGUCUCAUGAAUUACCAAAGGCCAUGCAGAUAUCCCUAGUCUGGAAUGCUGCCUGAGUACUAUGCUGAGCUGGAGUGUGUGGGGUGAUCAGCCCCAAAGGUGUGACUGGGGGAGAGCUGGCCCGGGGCCCUGCCUCUUAUCUGCCCCACAACAGUGGCAGAGAUAGCUAGGGCAGUACCUCCCAGGGCACAGAAGAGCUGAUGGGCUAACUAGCUCAAUUACCUGCGCAGAUCUAGGGCAGUGAGUUGGCCCACUCCAACAUAGUUCUAUCCCAACUAUAAACUGCUGGGGCAUGUGAAAGGGCUGGUUUUGCAGAUCCAAAGCAGCAGGAUCUCCAUGGCAUGGGGCUGAAACAGAAUAUCCAAGCCGUGUCCCGGUGAGGAUCCAGUAUAUAUAGUAUAGCAGAAGCCAGAGACCUUGAAACAGACCAUGACUUAUUGCAAGGAACAUUUCCAAGUGAAAAUAUAUGGACAAAAGGGUGUACCAUGCGACACAACAGCUUCCAGAGCAAGAUUUUUUUUUUUUUUAAUUCUGUCUCCUUUUCUUUUCUUUUGUUGGGGGAGGUUGUAAGGGCAGAGGGCAGAGAACAGAUAUGAAGGGAUGGGGAAAUGAGUGAAAUUGGGGUAUGCGAUGUAAAACACACAAAAUAAUCAAUAAAAAUUUAAAAAACA